rnacentral:rRNA from 1 species
GGCUCGAGAUCACUCCCAACCCAUGUGAACAUACCUAUUGUUGCUUCGGCGGGAUUGCCCCGGGCGCCUCGUGUGCCCCGGAUCAGGCGCCCGCCUAGGAAACUUAACUCUUGUUUUAUUUUGGAAUCUUCUGAGUAGUUUUUACAAAUAAAUAAAAACUUUCAACAACGGAUCUCUUGGUUCUGGCAUCGAUGAAGAACGCAGCGAAAUGCGAUAAGUAAUGUGAAUUGCAGAAUUCAGUGAAUCAUCGAAUCUUUGAACGCACAUUGCGCCCGCCAGUAUUCUGGCGGGCAUGCCUGUCUGAGCGUCAUUUCAACCCUCAUGCCCCUAGGGCGUGGUGUUGGGGAUCGGCCAAAGCCCGCGAGGGACGGCCGGCCCCUAAAUCUAGUGGCGGACCCGUCGUGGCCUCCUCUGCGAAGUAGUGAUAUUCCGCAUCGGAGAGCGACGAGCCCCUGCCGUUAAACCCCCAACUUUCCAAGGUUGACCUCAGAUCAGGUAGGAAUACCCGCUGAACUUAAGCAUAUCAUAAG